rnacentral:lncRNA from 1 species
UCACUGGAACUUCACCACAAACUCUUUAGUUUCUGAGUCAAAGCUUUUAAUUUAAUAUUUUGCUUUAUUAUGAAGGUUAUUUAGCGGUAACUGAAUCAUUUUGUCAUUCUUUCAGAAUCCCCAUCAGGACCAUCUGCCAGUACUUGGACAUGAUUCAUUACAUAUAAAGGUGAUAUUAAAGCAGAUGUUAGGGGAGCUCUCGUCACUGAAUACGCUUCUUAGUGUGGGUGGAGAAGAAGAAGGGAAGAAGAUUAUUUUAUUAUACAAUACGCAUUUUAUUCAUUCACAUUCAAGAACUUCAUAUGCAUUAUUUCACAUGGCCAGGCUAAUACAAACUAAAAGGCAUUGACAAUACAAUAAACUGUGUGUGUGUGUGUGUGUGUAUUAUAUAAGUAAAAUUACACUAUUUUCAGAGUAAAAGCUGUUAUAAUUCAGUUAUUUUAUAAUAUAUUCUUACAUUAUAUGGCAGAAAUGAAUUUGCUCUGGAACCAAACGAUGGUGAUUUGACUCAAUAAAAGCCAAAUGUCUAAAAUAAUUAUUAUACAAUCAUAGAUUAUCUCAUUCAGAGUGCCUAGAGGCUGUCACAGUGUCUGUCAUAAUUUUCCUCCCCUUGUUUUGCACCAGCCAGCACAGAAAGACUCUGCAGAGGAACAGUCUGUACACCCAUUGCAUGCUCCUCGAACACAGACACACAAAACACACAAGA